ACGUAAACAUUUUUAUUUUUAUAUUUAAUUAAAUGAGAGAAAAUUUUUUUAAUCUGUCCAUGACGUGAGCUUGAAUUAAAUGGGAGAAAAUUAAUAUGCUAGAAGCCUGACGUGACUCGAACUCAGGACCUCCUGCUCUGAUAUCAUGUGAAACAACCGUUGUACUCUAAAAGCUUAAGCUAUUAGAGAACAGUAUUUAAAUAUUUUUAUAUUUAACAUAUUCAUUAGAUCUCACGAGCUAAUUAUGCCUCAUCUCAC
rnacentral:lncRNA from 1 species